rnacentral:rRNA from 1 species
UUUUUUCUACGGGGCGCAGCAGUGAGGAAUAUUGGUCAAUGGGCGGAAGCCUGAACCAGCCAAGUCGCGUGAGGGAAUAAGGCCCUACGGGUCGUAAACCUCUUUUGCCGGGGAGCAAGGGCGGGGAUGUGUCCCGGCCCGGAGAGUACCCGGAGAAAAAGCAUCGGCUAACUCCGUGCCAGCAGCCGCGGUAAUACGGAGGAUGCGAGCGUUAUCCGGAUUUAUUGGGUUUAAAGGGUGCGUAGGCGGGCUUUUAAGUCAGCGGUAAAAAUUCGGGGCUCAACCCCGUCCGUCCGUUGGAACUG